GACGAACGCUGGCGGCGCGCCUAACACAUGCAAGUCGAACGGAGUUGUGUUGAAAGCUUGCUGGAUAUACAACUUAGUGGCGGACGGGUGAGUAACACGUGAGUAACCUGCCUCUCAGAGUGGAAUAACGUUUGGAAACGAACGCUAAUACCGCAUGACGUCAUAGGACCGCAUGGUCUAGUGAUCAAAGGAGCAAUCCGCUGAAAGAUGGACUCGCGUCCGAUUAGCUAGUUGGUGAGAUAAAGGCCCACCAAGGCGACGAUCGGUAGCCGGACUGAGAGGUUGAACGGCCACAUUGGGACUGAGACACGGCCCAG
rnacentral:rRNA from 1 species